rnacentral:rRNA from 1 species
CAGUCGCCGCGGGAAUACGUAGGGUGCGAGCGUUAAUCGGAAUUACUGGGCGUAAAGCGUGCGUAGGCGGUGAGUUAAGUCUGCUGUGAAAUCCCCGGGCUCAACCUGGGAAUGGCAGUGGAUACUGGCUCGCUAGAGUGUGUCAGAGGAUGGUGGAAUUCCCGGUGUAGCGGUGAAAUGCGCAGAGAUCGGGAGGAACAUCAGUGGCGAAGGCGGCCAUCUGGGACAACACUGACGCUGAGGCGCGAAAGCGUGGGGAGCAAACAGGAUUAGAUACCCGCGUAGUCCCUGUCUCUUAUAC